rnacentral:tRNA from 1 species
GGCUCCGUGGCUUAAUGGUUACGGCUUCUGUCUCCCAAGCAGGAGGUUCAGGGAUCAAAUCCCGGUCGGUACCU